GGGGGUUUAGCUCAGCUGGGAGAGCACCUGCUUUGCAAGCAGGAGGUCAUCGGUUCGAUCCCGUUAACCUCCA
rfam:Lactobacillus ginsenosidimutans strain EMML 3041, complete genome.